UAGAGAAAGAGAAUGAGAAACAUGAAGAAGGAGUAAUUUGUUGUCUACCCCAACAUUCCUUCCUUGACACCAGUACUUAUUUCCCAAUAGAAAGGCUGGAAAUGGCCAACACUGCUUUUCCAGGCGUCCCUGCAGAAAGGCAUGCAUGUGUGACUUAAUCAUGGCCAGUGAGACGAGAACAUAUGUCUUCAGAGAGCCUUCUGGGACAGAUUUUCCUCCUGGUUCUGGGUAUGAAGCUUGCUCAGUUCAGUGCCUGUGGGAUUCACUGAUAACAUGAAAUACACUGAUCCACAGCUUGUCUGAGAUGAAUGCAUGUGCUGUGUGAUCCUGAAGUUCUUUAUGUCUGUUGGCUUUUCAUAGUACAUCUGCUGGAAAGAAGAGCCUUUUUGGACAUUUGUAAGCCCUUUGUGAUGGGAGGGGAGUAAGUCUGUAAGUAUGUGUGAAAAGGGGCUGCUAUAAUGUAAAGCCAACUCACCAAACAUGGGCUUUGCAGUAAUAAGGAUGGGAAGCUAAAGAUCAGGCCUCAUGGAAAAGAAUUUCCCCCUUUCUUUGACUUGGCCUAUAAAUGUAGCUUUUCUGACUCUUUUGAGGCCCUGUUGCUUGUCUUGUAUUCAGCACCUAAUAAUGUUGUUGCAAAUGUCAGGACUGCAACAAGCUCAGUUGUGUUGUAGCAAGUAGGAGACUGCUACAAAAUGGGAAGAGUCACUAAUAGUUUUGGCAACAAAACAUGACAAUGUGCAUAUUACCAGAGGCAAUUAUGUGCAUCUCAUGGGGAUUCAAUAGACUCUGGGACUGACUUUAAUGACCUGAAAAUCCACUUGCCCUUUUUGUUUUCUCUGUUAUGUCCAAGUAAUGAAAAUAUUGAGAAAGUUAUUGUAACUAUAAAAUUGCAGCAUAGUUCCUUUUUUAAAAAAAU
rnacentral:lncRNA from 10 species